AGCCCCGUAGUGUAGUGGUCAAUCAUCCGAGACUCUGGAUCUUGGGACUUCAGUUCGAAUCUGGACGGGGCUA
rnacentral:tRNA from 1 species